UCCCAUAUUGUCUAGUGGUUAGGAUACCUGGCUCUCACCGAGAAGGCCCGGAUUCAAUUCCCGGUAUGGGAA
rnacentral:tRNA from 1 species